rnacentral:lncRNA from 1 species
GGAAACUGUAUAUUCAGUUGAUCUGAGAGAACAACUAGGGCAAUAUUAAUCAGAGGAACUUUGAGUAUGAUCCCUUCUUCUAUUUAAGUGCCCAGUGUGACUUCACAAUCUGUAGUUAAAGCCACAGUCACAGCAAGGGGACAUAAGGCUCUUGUUUUAUAAAGGAAAACACUUUAAAAAGGAAAUGAAUGGACAAUAAUACAUGUCCUUUGCUGGCUGGAAUGAUGGAUGGGCUCCAAGAAGAAAUAACCAAUGUCCACAAUAGGCUGGUGAUAAUAAUCCUACUACCAUAUACUCAGUGAGACUGUGCAUCUCAGAGGAGGAAACAUGUCUAGUUUGGUAUCCAGCAAGACAAACAUCUUCAUGAUUAGAAGAAAAUGAGUUAAGUACAGUCA